rnacentral:lncRNA from 10 species
ACGUAGACACAUACAGAGGUAUACAGAGGCAGAGCUAGGCAGAGAGAGACCUCAACAGAAACAAACCUUAGACAUGCUCUUAAAUCGGCCUGAAUCUAAAUCUAUUGAUUUAGAUACUUUGAGUAAUAUAGGUGUAUGGAGCAUGUUUAAAGAAAACAUAAAUGAGAAACUGCUUUCCUUUUGACACCUCCUUCAAGAGAUAUGUUGGCCAUUUUAUAGGCACUGUUUUAUUAUCUGAGAAAUGGUUCUUACAGAAUCAGCAACUAUAAAAUUACAUGUGGUAUCAGAAGAUAAUGCCAGGGUAUAUAUGUAGAACAAUGUGUCUGUGACGGCUAUCAAUUUAUUGGCUCAGCUCUGGAAUAACCCUUCAAUCAAGUGUCUGUGUAAUGGGCAGGGUCCUUUUAAGCAUCUUUUACAGUCAGCACGAUGUUAAGCUCUCUCCAUAGGGGGUGCUGUUGGGGCCCUUUGUGGCUGCUGCCUUAUGGGUCAGUGGUAUGGGUGUGAGGACAUCUGAUGGAGUUCUCUUCCAACCACUGCCUACAAUUGGUGGUGCCUUGGGACCUUGAAGCCUCAUUCUGGCCAUAACCUUCUCCUGGGCCUGUGGAUUACAAACUUGAGCCCUGAAAGAUUCCUGCUGCAUCAGUGCCCGGAAGGCCUUCUGCCAACACUGGCUCCUCACUCUCUGAAGAUCCUGUGAGGAUCACCUGUGACCUGGAGGGUUCCCACUGGGCAGCCACGCCUGCUGCAGGCCCCCACUCUGUGCACAGCCAGGCUGUUGGUUGCUGGUGGACUGACCCAGCCUGCACUCUGGAGGGUUGCUUCCUAUGCGCUCAGGGACUGCAGACCAGUUCCAGCCUGGGCAAACCAGCUAACUUCCCUGCUAUGUGGGUCGAGUUCAGUUCUCCAAGGAGGUCUGAACCUCAGGCUUGGGACUCUUUCCCAGUUUGUCUUUCCUUGAGUACUCUUCCUUAGCUCUAGGGUACCAGAGAGAAUUUCCUUAUGUCCUAUAGUCACUCGUUUAUCAGAAUUUAAUAACUCUUUAUAUAAAUAUUUCCCCUGUUCAACCUACUGUAAAGCAAUAGCAAUACCAGUGUUUAAGCAAGAAAUACAGCUGCCUUUCCACCUAGAGAAUAAUUUAUAGAAUGAAGUAGGAAUCAAUGAGCCAGUUUUUUCAUUCACAACUUUCUUCUUGCCUAAUUUUGAUUUUAGAGUUUCAAAAUUGGGUGACAGCUGCUUUCAUUUCUCAAAGAAAAUGAACACAGUCUUGUUUCAUUAGCUAAAUUGUCAAAUCCACACCAAGGAGAGGUUCUAACUCAUAUGUAGGAUAACAUUUGUGAUGAAGCAACAGGAAUCUGAUUCCCACUAAAUCAGUAAAGUUCCCACUGAAAAGGCCAGUUGAUUAAUUUCAGUCAGGGCAGAACUUAAAAUUACUGGCAAUGUGUGAUAAAACUGAUUCCUUUUGAGGAAAAAUAAUUAGUGCAAUUAAAUCUGAAUAAGUGCAUAACUUGUUUAAAACAGAUCUAAAAAAGAGUAAACAGGGAACAAAAUCUGUAUCACAACCUUGGGGAUUAUAUAAAAGUAGUGGAGACAGUAUAAACUUAUAUAGCUAAUAGAAUAAAUAUGACAGGACUUUCAACUUCUGAGGUUAUUUUUAUUUUUAAAUUUAACUUCAAUUUCUGUUUAUUUAAAUUU